rnacentral:lncRNA from 1 species
UACUCUAUUGGUCCCAAAUGACAACAUUUAGAGCACAUAGGAUCUCUAAUUCUAAUUGUUCCAACUGACAAAAGAUAGAGUACAUAGGAACUUAGUUGAUCUCAACGGACAACUAAUUGAGCAUUGAAGGGAAUAUGUGAUAUUAUAUUCUCCUCCCUUAAAUUGAAAUUCUCCCCCGAAUUUCCUCCACUCAACCAAUAAACACUUCUUGCAUCAACGUCUUAGACCUCUUCUUCUCUUCUUCUCUAUAUUACAUGAUAAUGGUGGUGGUGGUGGUGAC